rnacentral:rRNA from 1 species
GACGAACGCUGGCGGCGUGCUUAACACAUGCAAGUCGAACGGUAAGGCCCUUCGGGGUACACGAGUGGCGAACGGGUGAGUAACACGUGGGCGAUCUGCCCUGCACUUCGGGAUAAGCCUGGGAAACUGGGUCUAAUACCGGAUAGGACCACUGCCUGCAUGGGUGGUGGUGGAAAGCUUUUGCGGUGUGGGAUGGGCCCGCGGCCUAUCAGCUUGUUGGUGGGGUGAUGGCCUACCAAGGCGACGACGGGUAGCCGGCCUGAGAGGGUGACCGGCCACACGGGGACUGAGAUACGGCCCAGGCUCCGAGGGGAGGCAGCAGUGGGGAAUAUUGCACAAUGGGCGCAAGCCUGAUGCAGCGACGCCGCGUGAGGGAUGACGGCCUUCGGGUUGUAAACCUCUUUCAGCACCGACGAAGCGCAAGUGACGGUAGGUGCAGAAGAAGGACCGGCCAACUACGUGCCAGCCGCCGCCGUAA